rnacentral:tRNA from 1 species
GGAAACGUGGCCGAGUGGCUGAAGGCGGCGGUUUGCUAAACCGUUAUACGCUUGUAAAGGCGUAUCGAGGGUUCGAAUCCCUCCGUUUCCG